rnacentral:rRNA from 1 species
CCUACGGGGGGCUGCAGUGGGGAAUAUUGGACAAUGGGGGGAACCCUGAUCCAGCCAUGCCGCGUGUGUGAAGAAGGCCCUCGGGUUGUAAAGCACUUUCAGUGAGGAAGAACGCCUGGUGGUUAAUACCCAUCAGGAAAGACAUCACUCACAGAAGAAGCACCGGCUAACUCCGUGCCAGCAGCCGCGGUAAUACGGAGGGUGCGAGCGUUAAUCGGAAUUACUGGGCGUAAAGCGCGCGUAGGUGGCUUGAUAAGCCGGUUGUGAAAGCCCCGGGCUCAACCUGGGAACGGCAUCCGGAACUGGCAAGCUAGAGUGCAGGAGAGGAAGGUAGAAUUCCCGGUGUAGCGGUGAAAUGCGUAGAGAUCGGGAGGAAUACCAGUGGCGAAGGCGGCCUUCUGGACUGACACUGACACUGAGGUGCGAAAGCGUGGGUAGCAAACAGGAUUAGAUACCCGGGUAGUC